rnacentral:rRNA from 1 species
AACGUAGGUGGCAAGCGUUAUCCGGAUUUACUGGGCGUAAAGGGUGUGCAGGCGGGCUGUCAAGUGGUGUAUGAAAGCGCCCGGCUCAACCGGGCAAGGUUAUGCCAGACUGAUGGCCUGGAGUGCGGGAGAGGGACGUGGAAUUCCGGGUGUAGUGGUGAAAUGCGUAGAGAUCCGGAGGAACCCCAGAGGCGAAGGCGGCGUCCUGGCCCGACACUGACGCUCAGACACGACAGCAUGGGGAGCGAACGGG